rnacentral:lncRNA from 1 species
GCCCAACAACUGCUCAGCCUCCAAGGCGUCCCUAUGGGUGGCGUCCCUAGCAUCCAAGAGGUUCGGAAACGCCUGGGGACCUGGCGCCAGUGCCAAGGUUGAGGAACCUGGGGGUUCCUCCUUCCACGCCUUCAACCUGAGAGAGGAUUAAGUUGUCCCGGACUGGCAGAGCUCAGGAAGCGGUCCCUCCCACUCCAGCCUCUCUGGAGCUCGGACACCCAGGGGUCCCCUGCCUCCGUGGAGGUGAGCGCGCACUCACCGGAGGUGAGCUGCAUCCAAGCACAGAUCUUGUACACGGUGGCUGUGUUGCAGAAGAAGAAGAGGGUAAAGCAAACGAUGCAGGCGAUGAUGAGCAUCAUGGAGAGGCCGAUGAAGAAGGAGGCGGCUUUGAAGGCGCCCGAGGGCAGCGUGGAGAAGUCCGUGAAGCUACCCCUGCAGGUCAGCUCCCGGGAGAAGCCGUUGCCGAUGCAGUAGUGGAAGAGCCCGAAAUAGCCGGCUUGCGGGGUGUCCACGCCGUCGCCGAUCCAGUAGGGCUGGAUGAAGCACACCACAUUGACGAUGGCAAAGCAGAUGGUGAAGAUGGCCCACAGCACGCCGAUGGCCCGCGAGUUCCGCACAUAGUUGGUGUGGUACAGCUUGGCAGCCUCCUGAGCCGGGAGCAUCGCGGCGGCGGCGGCGGCGGCUCCGGGCAUUCUCCCCCUCCUCCUCCUCCUCCCGGUCCUCCGCCUCCCCCCGCCUCUCGGCGCGCAGGAGACACACUCGCCGAGCGAGCGGCGUGCGUUGCAAUUCCCCUGCCUCCGCCUCAGCCCAGCAGCACCAGUUCUAGAGUCUGCACCCUCGCUCCCGGAAGGAGGGAGGGGGAGCGUGGAGCACCCCUCCGGCUCGCCAGGCACAGCCUCCCGCCCCCCUCUUCCCUCCCUCCUGGACCCGGCUCCAGCCCUGCUUUGCACCCUCCACUCCUCUGCUCGUUGCUGCAGCUGCUGCAGCUGAAGCCUGCGAGCCCUCACGCCCCCUUACUCUUCAUCUCGCCUUUGACCCUCUUUCCUGUAGGCUCUGCUGGUGCCCCAGGUCACAGAGGAUCGCGGCUACCAGGAGAUGCUUCUUAAGUGCCAGGAGCAAGAGAAGCAGACGUGGAGUUAUAAGAGCGCGCCCAGAGGAAUCCUAGAGGCACUCCCUGGAUCCUGGAGGAUGUGCUGCUGGCCAAGAGGCUGAUCCUGAGCUUUUCAUCACCGCACAGGAACGUGCUUUGACCUCUGCAUCUCUGCAGGGAAAAAAAGAGGCAGCCUUAUGGCAGGUGUAGGAUAUCUGAUAUGCAACCUGUGAAAGAGUCAUUCAGUCCCCAUGGGGUCACAACCCACCGCUUGGGAACCACUGAUAUAGAUGGACUUCAAGAGCUGGGACAGCGAAACAUAUGUGAGACUCUGAAAUCAUCCUCUGUCACCAGGAUAGCUGCUGUUUGGGGGAGGAGGAAAUAACAAAACUAGCCUGAUUCAUGCUACAAAGCUGCUAUUGAUAGAAAGGCAGAUGUGAUCUCCACCACUCAUCAAGGACAAUAGAAAUGCCACAAUGGGCAUGAGAAAGCCCCUAGGACUACAAGCCUACACAAAGAACCGUAGACAACUAAAGAAUGGUGAGAGUGGAGGAAAGAGUCUUCCCCAGGGAAGAGCAUGCCAGUGGGAUACCCAAUACAAAGUGGUCAUGCACUGAAAACAUAUAUACAAGUAGCGUUGUACUUGUAGCAUACAUGAACACAUGUGUGUGUGUGUGUGUGUGUGUGUGUGUGUGUGUGUGUGUGUGUAUGAGAAUAUAUACACAUGAAUAUAUAUAUACACACAUACACAAAAAGUGUAAUGAAAAAUGGGUCGUGAACUUGAAAGAAAGUGAGGCAAGGUAUAUGGGAAAAAUGUAGUCAUAUUACAAUUUCAAAAUAAAGAAUUUGCAGUGUUUUUAAAAAAAAAAAAAAA